rnacentral:rRNA from 2 species
GGAUGCGAUCAUACCAGCACUAAAGCACCGGAUCCCUUCAGAACUUCGAAGUUAAGCGUGCUUGGGCGAGAGUAGUACUAGGAGGGGUGACCUCCUGGGAAGUCCUCGUGUUGUAGUCC